UACGUAGGGUGCAAGCGUUAAUCGGAAUUACUGGGCGUAAAGCGUGCGCAGGCGGUUGUGCAAGACCGAUGUGAAAUCCCCGGGCUCAACCUGGGAAUGGCAUUGGUGACUGCACGGCUAGAGUGUGUCAGAGGGGGGUAGAAUUCCACGUGUAGCAGUGAAAUGCGUAGAGAUGUGGAGGAACAUCAGUGGCGAAGGCGGCCAUCUGGGACAACACUGACGCUGAAGCACGAAAGCGUGGGGAGCAAACAGG
rnacentral:rRNA from 1 species